rnacentral:rRNA from 1 species
GAUGAACGCUGGCGGCGUGCCUAAUACAUGCAAGUCGAGCGAACAGACGAGGAGCUUGCUCCUCUGACGUUAGCGGCGGACGGGUGAGUAACACGUGGAUAACCUACCUAUAAGACUGGGAUAACUUCGGGAAACCGGAGCUAAUACCGGAUAAUAUAUUGAACCGCAUGGUUCAAUAGUGAAAGACGGUUUUGCUGUCACUUAUAGAUGGAUCCGCGCCGCAUUAGCUAGUUGGUAAGGUAACGGCUUACCAAGGCGACGAUGCGUAGCCGACCUGAGAGGGUGAUCGGCCACACUGGAACUGGGACACGGUCCAGACUCCUACGGGAGGCAGCAGUAGGGAAUCUUCCGCAAUGGGCGAAAGCCUGACGGAGCAACGCCGCGUGAGUGAUGAAGGUCUUCGGAUCUUAAAACUCUGUUAUUAGGGAAGAACAAAUGUGUAAGUAACUAUGCACGUCUUGACGGUACCUAAUCAGAAAGCCACGGCUAACUACGUG